rnacentral:rRNA from 1 species
CAGUCGCCGCGGGAAUACGUAGGGUGCAAGCGUUAUCCGGAAUUAUUGGGCGUAAAGAGCUCGUAGGCGGUUUGUCACGUCUGCUGUGAAAACGCGAGGCUCAACCUCGCGCCUGCAGUGGGUACGGGCAGACUAGAGUGCGGUAGGGGAGAUUGGAAUUCCUGGUGUAGCGGUGGAAUGCGCAGAUAUCAGGAGGAACACCGAUGGCGAAGGCAGAUCUCUGGGCCGUAACUGACGCUGAGGAGCGAAAGGGUGGGGAGCAAACAGGCUUAGAUACCCGAGUAGUCCCUGUCUCUUAUAC